AGAAAGAUACCGAGUCGGAGCAGUCCCGCUCAUCAUCGAAGAAGCCUGAGGA
rnacentral:ncRNA from 2 species